GACGAACGCUGGCGGCGUGCUUAACACAUGCAAGUCGAACGGAGUGGCGAACGGGUGAGUAACACGUGGGUGACCUGCCCUGCACUUCGGGAUAAGCCUGGGAAACUGGGUCUAAUACCGGAUAGUGUGGGAUGGGCCCGCGGCCUAUCAGCUUGUUGGUGGGGUAAUGGCCUACCAAGGCGACGACGGGUAGCCGGCCUGAGGGGGUGGACGGGCACAGUGGGACUGGGACGCGGCGCAGACUGCUACGGGAGGCAGCAGUGGGGAAUAUUGCACAAUGGGCGGAAGACUGAUGCAGCGACGCCGCGUGGGAGAUGACGGCCUUCAGAUUGUAAACUCCUUUCACCAUCGACGCGGUAGGUAGAGAAGAAGCGCCGGCUAACUACGUGCCAGCAGACGCGGUAAUAC
rnacentral:rRNA from 1 species